AUUGAACGCUGGCGGCAGGCUUAACACAUGCAAGUCGAGCGGGGGAAGGUAGCUUGCUACCGGACCUAGCGGCGGACGGGUGAGUAAUGCUUAGGAAUCUGCCUAUUAGUGGGGGACAACAUCUCAAAAGGGAUGCUAAUACCGCAUACGUCCUACGGGAGAAAGCAGGGGAUCUUUGGACCUUGCGCUAAUAGAUGAGCCUAAGUCGGAUUAGCUAGUUGGUGGGGUAAAGGCCUACCAAGGCGACGAUCUGUAGCGGGUCUGAGAGGAUGAUCCGCCACACUGGGACUGAGACACGGCCCAGACUCCUACGGGAGGCAGCAGUGGGGAAUAUUGGACAAUGGGGGGAACCCUGAUCCAGCCAUGCCGCGUGUGUGAAGAAGGCCUUAUGGUUGUAAAGCACUUUAAGCGAGGAGGAGGCUACUUUAGUUAAUACCUAGAGAUAGUGGACGUUACUCGCAGAAUAAGCACCGGCUAACUCUGUGCCAGCAGCCGCGGUAA
rnacentral:rRNA from 1 species